UACAGAGGUGGCAAGCGUUGUUCGGAAUUACUGGGCGUAAAGAGCUCGUAGGUGGUUUGUCGCGUUGUCCGUGAAAACUCACAACUCAAUUGUGGGCGUGCGGGCGAUACGGGCAGACUGGAGUACUGCAGGGGAGACUGGAAUUCCUGGUGUAGCGGUGGAAUGCGCAGAUAUCAGGAGGAACACCGGUGGCGAAGGCGGGUCUCUGGGCAGUAACUGACGCUGAGGAGCGAAAGCGUGGGGAGCGAACAGG
rnacentral:rRNA from 1 species